GGCAAGCAGCGGUAAAUUUGUGGGAAUGUGUUGACUGAAGCUGAUGUGAGCUUGUUUGUCACUCUUAUAAGAUUUGAUGAGGUUUAUGUUGUUCAUUUCAAAUGCAACAAGAAUCUGAUACGAGAGUAUCCAAAUCUGUUCAACUACACCAAAGACAUAUACCAAACCAAUGGCAUGAGCAGCUCCAUUAACAUGGAACACAUUAUGUUUGAUUCCUUACUUUCCAGUUUCAGUUCAUCCAUUGCCAUUGUCAAUGAGGGGAUAUUGCCAACCUCCAUGUCCAAGACAAGCU